UACGAGUGGUGCAAGCGUUAUUCGGAUUAAUUGGGCGUAAAGGGUGCGCAGGCGGCACAUUAAGUCAACUGUUAAAGACCUCAGCCUAACUGGGGAACAGUAGUAGAUACUGGUGCGCUAGAGGAUGGAAGAGAGAAGUGGAAUUCUUGGAGUAGCGGUAAAAUGCGUAGAUCUCAAGAGGAACACCGAUGGCGAAGGCAGCUUCUUGGUCCAUAUCUGACGCUCAUGCACGAAAGCGUGGGGAGCAAACAGG
rnacentral:rRNA from 1 species